rnacentral:rRNA from 1 species
UCACUCUCCGCUGCGGAGACGGGAACUGUGGUGUUUGGGACGGCCUCUGAACGGCGCGUGGCGAUUCAAAGUCCGCUCGAACGCGGCUUUCCGGGCUACCAGCAUUGAGUGGCCUGGCCGGAGAGGGUGUGAGACCCGUGUGGGACGCUGCGCGCUCGGGCUUUGGUCCAGUCUCGAGAGUCGGGUUGUUUGGGAAUGCAGCCCAAAUGGGUGGUAAACUCCAUCCAAGGCUAAAUACGAUCGCGAGUCCGAUAGAGGACCAAGUACCGCGAGGGAAAGUUGAAAAGGACUUUGAAGAGAGAGUUCAAGAGUACGUGAAACCGCUGAGAGGCAAACGGAUGGGAUCGCAAAUGCUCUGGGUGAGAUUCAGCCCUCGUUCUGUCGGCUGGCGUGCCGCGUCUUGCAUCCGUGCUCGAAUCGCUUCGGCGAGCCGGGCGCGGGUCGGCGGCGCCGCGGUCGGCAGGAGCGGAGGGUGCACUUCUCCCGAGAGGAAGCCACGACCGGUUCUCGGCCCGUCGAGAACCGACGGAUUCCCGGCCCGUUCACCCUCGGGCGGAGGGGGGACCCGGGAACGACGCGCAUGGCUUUGGAAGCCAGUUCGACCGGGCCGUGGGACCGAGAGACCCACGCGGANACUUUGUCAAGCAGCGUGUCCUUCUUCUUCCUUUGUGUCGGUCGAGUGCGUUGUCGUCUANUUGAAAUCGUCGGGGACUGUUCUCAGUGCUCGGCGACGGCGACUCGUGCGGGUGGCCGCGGGGUUGGAACGCAGCUGCACCUAGUGCGGACGGCAGCAGUCUCCACGCAAAAUGUCGGGGGCAGUCGGUGGCUGUUUGGCAGACAACCCAUCCGACCCGUCUUGAAACACGGACCAAGGAGUCUAACAUGUGCGCGAGUCGUUGUGCUCGACGAGACACGAAGGCGCAAUGAAAGUGACUUUAUACGAGGUCUGACGAGGGCAACAGCACUCCUCAAGACCGGCCCGUCCAACGUCGCUUGUGUCGACGCGGACGGAGCAAGAGCGCAAAU